rnacentral:lncRNA from 1 species
GAGGUGAAGGUCCAAGGUAAAGGUUUUCAUGUUGAUAUUGUUUAAAGGUGAUAUUAUGACUUACUUGAUGUUUAUGCUUGUCUUGUAUGUCUUUUAUGCAACUGUUCAUGAUACUUCAAAAAGUGGCAUAAUGCAUGGUUUCUAGCCAAAAUGUCCCUUUUUAAAGCAUGUUUUGCAUGGUCAUCAUACUUAGUACUUAAUUGUGCUAAUUCCAUAUUUCUCUAUUUUCUACUAGUGUAGGUUCCGGAAAGUGAGCGGGUUCUAUAGUAAGCUUGGAACUUCAAGUUCUUCCAAGAUCUUGUGGGUAUGUCCUCAUAUGUCGAGGACAAGACUUUUCUAUUCUAAUUUUAUGAUAAGGUUCUUGUAAUAGACUUCUUUUGAUUGUAAAGGGCCGUGUCCCUACUUAUGUUUUGUGAUUAUGUCUAAGAUGGCCAUGUGAGACUUAGACUUCCGCUGUGUGUUUUUAAAGUUGUUUUAAUGAAGUUUGAAUUUGUGGAUGU